GCCCAGCUACCCUCAGCCCUGCCGCCGGGACGGCGGCGAGCGGUCGCUCGCCCACUGAAGGACCUCACCAAGAGGACAGCCCUUCGGGCUACGCAACGCCACGGGGGCUUACGGACGCCUCCUAGCGCGGUCCUUGACCACGUCGCCCGCGAGCAGCGAGCUCGUAGGCGCGGCAAGGACAAUCUCUGACGCUGGCUCCAGCAGCGGGAGUCCCCACCCCUC
rnacentral:lncRNA from 1 species